UUAUGAGGUUAUCACGUAAAACUAUCGUCCGUAAGCCGACUUUACAGACUACCAAUUUAUUUAUUUAUUUUUUACUUAAAUUAUACAGAUUAAUUACAAUUGACUAUGUGCUAUUAAAAUGUAUUUACAACGUUUAUACAUGUGUUGUAUAACAAAAAUGUUAGUUAUACAAACACAUUAAAGGCAUAA